rnacentral:rRNA from 1 species
UACGUAGGGUGCGAGCGUUAAUCGGAAUUACUGGGCGUAAAGCGUGCGCAGGCGGUUUUGUAAGACAGGGGUGAAAUCCCCGAGCUUAACUUGGGAAUGGCGCUUGUGACUGCAAGGCUAGAGUAUGUCAGAGGGGGGUAGAAUUCCACGUGUAGCAGUGAAAUGCGUAGAGACGUGGAGGAAUACCGAUGGCGAAGGCAGCCCCCUGGGACGUCACUGACGCUCAUGCACGAAAGCGUGGGGAGCAAACAGG